rnacentral:rRNA from 1 species
UGCCAGCAGCCGCGGUAACACGUAAGGGGCAAGCGCUGUCCGGAAUCACUGGGCGUAAAGGGAGCGUAGGUGGCGAGAUAAGUCAGAUGUGAAAGUUUGCGGCUCAACCGUAAAAUUGCAUUUGAUACUGUUUGCUAGAGUAUCGGAGAGGAAAGCGGAAUUCCUGGUGUAGCGGUGAAAUGCGCAGAGAUCAGGAAGAACACCAAUGGCGAAGGCAGCUUUCUGGACGAUAACUGACACUGAGGCUCGAAAGCGUGGGGAGCGAACAGGAUUAGAUA